GAUCAUGGCUCAAGAUGAACGCUGGCGGCGUGCCUAAUACAUGCAAGUAGAACGCUGAAGGAGGAGCUUGCUCUUUCCGGAUGAGUUGCGAACGGGUGAGUAACGCGUAGGUAACCUGCCUGGUAGCGGGGGAUAACUAUUGGAAACGAUAGCUAAUACCGCAUAAUAGUAGAUAUUGCAUGAUAUCUGCUUGAAAGGGGCAAUUGCUCCACUACCAGAUGG
rnacentral:rRNA from 1 species